AUUGAACGCUGACGGCAGGCCUAACACAUGCAAGUCGAACGGUAACAGGAAACAGCUUGCUGUUUCGCUGACGAGUGGCGGACGGGUGAGUAAUGUCUGGGAAACUGCCUGAUGGAGGGGGAUAACUACUGGAAACGGUAGCUAAUACCGCAUAACGUCGCAAGACCAAAGAGGGGGACCUUCGGGCCUCUUGCCAUCGGAUGUGCCCAGAUGGGAUUAGCUAGUAGGUGGGGUAACGGCUCACCUAGGCGACGAUCCCUAGCUGGUCUGAGAGGAUGACCAGCCACACUGGAACUGAGACACGGUCCAGACUCCUACGGGAGGCAGCAGUGGGGAAUAUUGCACAAUGGGCGCAAGCCUGAUGCAGCCAUGCCGCGUGUAUGAAGAAGGCCUUCGGGUUGUAAAGUACUUUCAGCGGGGAGGAAGGGAGUAAAGUUAAUACCUUUACUCAUUGACGUUACCCGCAGAAGAAGCACCGGCUAACUCCGUG
rnacentral:rRNA from 1 species